rnacentral:rRNA from 1 species
UACGAAGGGGGGCUAGCGUUGCUUGGAAUCACUGGGCGUAAAGCGCACGUAGGCGGAUCUUUAAGUCAGGGGUGAAAUCCUGGAGCUCAACUCCAGAACUGCCUUUGAUACUGGGGAUCUCGAGUCCGGAAGAGGUGAGUGGAACUCCGAGUGUAGAGGUGAAAUUCGUAGAUAUUCGGAAGAACACCAGUGGCGAAGGCGGCUCACUGGCCCGGUACUGACGCUGAGGUGCGAAAGCGUGGGGAGCAAACAGGG